UCCGAUAUGGUCUAGUGGCUAACAUUAUCGCCUUUCAUAUGGCAGCUUACUUAACAGCACGUUCAGAUCGCGAUAGCCCGUGGUUUAAUUCCCCGUGCCGGAA